ensembl:lncRNA
ACUCUGGGGUUCCUUCACUUAAAGCACAGUAUUUCCUGCUCCACGUGGCAGAACUUCAGUCUGUAAACUGAGGCAGCAGCAACAGAGCACCAGCCCUGAGCCCAGCCCCCAGGAGCCUUGAGACACAUGCUGGUCCUGUGCUCAUCGCCAUCGCCCUGAAGGUCUGUGGAGGACACUGAGGCCCAGUGAGGGGCUCCCCAGCCCACGAGGACACAUUCGACUGUUGGAAAUCAGCCGGCUAUCUCCAGGUGGCCAGCGAGGGUGUGGCUGCUCCACAAAUAAGGAAAACCAGGAUAAGAGGCAGUGUUUGCCC